rnacentral:rRNA from 1 species
AGUGAACGCUGGCGGUAGGCCUAACACAUGCAAGUCGAACGGCAGCACAGUAAGAGCUUGCUCUUACGGGUGGCGAGUGGCGGACGGGUGAGGAAUACAUCGGAAUCUACUUUUUCGUGGGGGAUAACGUAGGGAAACUUACGCUAAUACCGCAUACGACCUACGGGUGAAAGCAGGGGAUCUUCGGACCUUGCGCGAUUGAAUGAGCCGAUGUCGGAUUAGCUAGUUGGCGGGGUAAAGGCCCACCAAGGCGACGAUCCGUAGCUGGUCUGAGAGGAUGAUCAGCCACACUGGAACUGGGACACGGUCCAGACUCCUACGGGAGGCAGCAGUGGGGAAUAUUGGACAAUGGGCGCAAGCCUGAUCCAGCCAUACCGCGUGGGUGAAGAAGGCCUUCGGGUUGUAAAGCCCUUUUGUUGGGAAAGAAAAGCAGCAGGUUAAUACCCCGCUGUUCUGACGGUACCCAAAGGAUAAGCACCGGCUAACUUCGUG